rnacentral:rRNA from 1 species
ACUACGAUCCAACGCGAAGAACCUUACCAGGCCUUGACAUCCAAUGAACUUUCCAGAGAUGGAAUGGUGCAUUCGGGAACAGUGAGACAGGUGACGCAUGGCUGUUGUCAGUUCUUGUCGUGAGAUGUUGGGUUAAGUCCUGUAUCGAGCGCAACCCUUGUCCUUAGUUACCAGCACGUAAUGGUGGGCACUCUAAGGAGACUGCCGGUGACAUACCGGAGGAAGGUGGGGAUGACGUCAAGUCAUCAUGGCCCUUACGGCUUGGCUACACACGUGAUACCAAUGAUCGGUACAAAGGGUUGCCAAGCCGCGAGGUGGAGCUAAUCCCAUAAAACCGAUCGUAGUCCGGAUCGCAGUCUGCAAUCCGACUGCGUGAAGUCGGAAUCGCUAGUAAUCGCGAAUCAGAAUGUCGCGGUGAAUACGUUCCCG